GAUGAACGCUGGCGGCGUGCCUAAUACAUGCAAGUCGAGCGAACGGACGAGCAGCUUGCUUUUCUGAUGUUAGCGGCUGACGUGUGAGUAACACGUGGAUAACCUACCUAUCUGACUGGGAUAUCUUCGGGAAACCGGUGCUAAUACCGGAUAAUAUUUUGAUCCUCAUGGUUCAAAAGUGAAUGACGGUCUUUCUGUCUCUUAUAGCUUGUUCCACGCUUCAUUAGCUAGUUGGUAAGUUAACGGCUUACCAAGGCAACGAUGCAUAGCCGACCUGAGAGGGUGAUCGGCCACACGGGAACUGAGACACGGUCAAGACUCCUACGGGAGGCAGCAGUAGGGAAUCUUCCGCAAUGGGCGAAAGCCUGACGGAGCAACGCCGCGUGAGUGAUGAAGGUCUUCGGAUCGUAAAACUCUGUUAUUAGGGAAGAACAGAUGUGUAAGUAAAUGUGCACAUCGUGACGGUACCUAAUCAGAAAGCCACGGCUAACUACGUG
rnacentral:rRNA from 1 species